GCCCCCAUAGUUCAAUGGAUAGAACGAAGGUUUCCGGAGCCUUUAAUUUGGGUUCGACUCCCAAUGGGGGCG
rnacentral:tRNA from 1 species